CUGAUCAGAAAGCAAUGUCCUUCCAUCUUGAUUUCAUGAAGAACAAGUAAAGCUGCAAAAUUCUUGAGAGCUAAUUGAAUUUCUCUUUUCAAAGUACCGAAAGAAACAGUAGAGCUACUUG